GUUAAUGGAAUUCUGGGUGCUUCACUUAGAGGAGAGAAGACUAGGAAAAAGGGGAAAUAUGGGAUAUCUAUCUAUGACCAAGUAUUUAAGAAAGGCAGUCAACCAGAAGAAGAAAUUCAAUUUAUUCUGUUUCACCCCAGAGGGCCGAACUUGGAGCAAUGGAUAGAGCAAUGGAACACUUAAGCGUGGUGUCAGUAAAAAGCUUCCAAACAGUUAGGGCUGUUUGAAAGUGAAAUGGGCUGCCUUGGGAGGCAACUGUUUCCCCUCCCUGAAAACUUUAAACAAAAACUGGAUAAGAUGUCUGUUGAAAUCCUUCUGCCUCGGAAGAUUUUUCAGGUGCCAUCUAUGACAGAGUAAUCAAAGUCCAGUGACAAGACAAAAGUCAGGACAGCAUUUGAUGGCCGGGAUGCGGUGGAUGACCUUGACAUCUUCUAUGCUAUGACAUUUCUCAAUUGAUGGGCACCAUACUUUGCUUCCAAUUCUUUGCUACCUGCCAGUAUUUUGGAUCUUUGUUGCUGUCAUUCACUUCCUUGGAGGGUAUGAAUACUUUAAUCACUUUUCUUGAGUAAGGAUAGAGCUUAUUGGAUCAGUUAUUCUCAAGCCCCACAAAGUAAGUAGUAACAAAUUGAUAUCUUAGCCAAGUGAGUAUAUGUUAAUCAAAUACUUUAGUAAGUGUGAAAAAUUCUUGAAAGUCAUUGGAUGAAUGGGGGAGACAUUGUGCAAACAAAUUCCAAAAUUAAGAGAGAAUCAAAGGAGUGGCAAAGUGACAAACCAGGAACCAAGAAAUUUCAGCCAAGCCCCCAAGGAGGAGUCAAUUUAGUCUGAGGAAAACUACUUGGUUUCAGCCUUCCCAGCUAUUGGUCAGAAUGAAGAAAAUCUUCUCUCUGACAUGCCAUUGUAAAUUUACAGAAGCCAUUUCAUCUAAUGCACAUACUUCUGAGACUCAACCCUCAUUAGCUAGAUUCCCUGUUAUAUGAGAAAAACUGAAAACUAGAAUGUGUACUUUGCAAAGUCCACUAAUGGGGCCUCAAUGUGCUCGGCUUCUCAUUGCUCUUUUCAAUGUCCUUUCUGCCAAAAGUAAACUAUAAAAAAUUAUAAGCUAGAUCUUAAACUUUAAAAACAAAAACAAAGCAAUAGAUGCUCUUUCUCCCUGUAUCUAGAUCCUCUUAUCUCUGAUUUCCUUUUUUCAGACUCCUGGUCCCUGCUCUAGUAACUGCUAAAAGCUGCUCUACUGAGAUUAUAGAAAGAGGAAUAGUUCAAAAUAGAAAUUUUAGAUUUUGCUGAUUCACAUGUGGUUUGUGAUGGAAAAUAUUGAUUAAAAACUAAAGUAGUAUAUGUAGACUAUGAAGGAAAAGAAAUUUGAAUUAGGGAGUGAUAGGAAUAAGGGAUGGCUUCAUGAAAAAGAUGGAAUUUGAUCUGGAUCUUCUGGAAUGGAUAAUACUUACACAAGAACAUAUUUUUUAAUGCAUUUAUUUUUUAUACGCAUUAUCUUUCCCUCUCACUAUCCCUCUUCCAAUUGAUAAUAAAACUGAAAAAUAAAAUCCUCAUAAUAAACAGCAGAACAAAUCCCUACAUUUACUAUGUUCUGCCUAUCUGUGUUCUAUGUUUAUCACAUCACUAGCAAAAGAUAAAUAGCAUGUUUCAUUUCCAAUCUUUUAGACUUGUGGUUUAUUAUUGCAUUAAAUAUUAUCAGUAUUAUCAUUGUAGAACAGCUGUCCAUCAAUUGUUCUAUGACUCUCCUCACCAUCCCAGAAACUUCUCAGAUCAAAACAAUCUUCUGGUCCCCCACACUCAUUCAGUUCAAUAAUCAUCACUUCCCCCUUCAACUCACAACUGGAGUUUUAAAUAUAUUUUUUCAGAGCUUUCUUCUCCAAAAUGUUAUCAUUAUAUGAAAUUGUUCUCCUAAUUCUGCUUGUUUUGCUUUGUAUCAGUUCUUACAGAUGUUCCUGACUUCUUGUGAAAUGUCUCAUUUCAUAAUUUCUUAUAAAUAAUAAUUUUCUGUUACAUUUGUAUAUCAUAAUUAUUUAAUCAUUCGCCAUAGGAAAAUAUUCUCUUAGUUCCCAAUUUUUUGGUUGCUACAAAAGAGGGGAGAAUUAACUCAGGGGGGAAAAACAGAAGGUCAAACUUCACUGAUGAUCAGUAUGAUCAGACAAUGUGUAAUGCCCUGUACUGGCUCAGGUGAAAGGAGGAGAAUCAGUCAAUAAAUAAUUGGAUAGAUAAAUUAAAAAAUGGAUGAAUGAAUGGAUAUGUGGAUAAACAAGUUAAUAAAUAAAUGAAUGAAUAAAGGAAUGAAUGAAUAAAAUAAUAGACAUCAGAUGGUCAAGGGGAUAGAGAAUUGAAUUUGGAUUGAAGAAUAACCAGAUUCAAAUUUUCCUUUUAAUUCUAACUUUAUGACUCUAGGGCAAAUCACUGAACCUAAACCCAUACUUUCUCAUCUAGAAAAUGGAGAUAUUUUCCUUAUUUUCCUGGAUUGUUUUAAGGCUCAUAGGAGACAAUAUAUGGAAAUCACUUUGCAAAUUUUGGCUGUUAUUACUGGUGCUGAACAAAAACUUAAGGACAAUCUUUGUGAGUCUAAGGAGUAGAGUUGUAAAUGAGGACAAAAUGUUUUAUCAAUUAUAGUCAUUUUAGGCUACAAGAUUUAGGUGAGUGCUAGAGUUAGCAAAACCUGAGUCUGAAGCCCUACGUCUGAUAUAAAGUAACAAUGUGAACCUGGGAAAAUUACUUCAUUUUGCUCAGUCUUAAUUUCCUUAGCUGAAAAAAAAUAUUAGGGGAGGGGCUAAUAAUAGCAUCUAUUUUAUAGGAUUAUUGAGGAAAUCAAAAGACAGAGAGUUCUUUACAAACGUUAAAUGUCCAAAUGUUAGCUAUUUUAUUAUUAUUAUUGUUAAGUUUUAAAAUGAAUUCUGGGAUAUCUGAGUUUCUCCAUAAUGAUUUUCAAUAUGUGUGAGUUAGGAUUAAGGAUAUAUUGUGUCUCUGUAUUAUUUACAUAAUUAGGAAUGGGGCACGGGUUAUAGAUUUCCCUUCUUUCACACUGAAGUCCAUACUGGCCUUUUGCUGUCUUUCAUACAAAGAACUCAUGUUGCCCAUUUAGAUAUAUACUAAGCAGAGUCCACACUGAAUGCCACAGCCUUCUCAUUCAUGCCCAACUGAAUCUGGUUAAAAACAAGGGAUUGGAUAAUCCUUAAGUCAUAAUUAUGAGGUAAGGAAGUUUAUUGCCUAAAAUCUGAUGUUAUUCAAUAUUACCAAUUCAAUAAACCUUAUUAAGUGGCUAUUAAGGGCCAAGCACUUCUUUGAACAAGUAGGCAGAGACAGGUUACUACUGCACUGAAGGCAGAGAAGGAUCAGUGGUAGCUGAAAUCUAGUUUUUAUCAGGAAUAUAUAAGCUACUUAAAUUCAUUAGUUGAUAAGAGGGAAAUGCCCUGGGAUAUCAGAACACAAGCAUUUGUCAGCAACCACAGCUAUGCUCAAUAUUUAGAUAGUCAACAGACCAACUAUUAUAGUGCAGAGCCCAAAAGAAAGUUCAGUACAGCUGGAGUCACUGUGACUUCAAUUGCCGCCACCUCCUCCAUCCCUGACUUAGAGAAAUAUUUACCUGUGUUAAGAACUCACUGACAUUUUGGAUCAAUUUGGAUUUUGCAGAAUAAUGAUCGAGUCAUUCCAGAGUUGAAACACUUCAGCAGGACUUUGUCCUAGAAAGAAUUCCACUACUAGCUCCUGGGAAUGCCUUUAUCAGCUGGUCCACUGUGUGAGUUUGAGCAUCUCUGGCUCAUUGCUUUGUGAUGGCACAAGAAAUAUAUGCCUUCUCCCUGGGCUCUCAGGAAAUCAGGGAUCUUACAGGUAGGGACAGCUAAAAAAAGUAUCUGUCUGCUCAUCAUUGGGCAAAAGUUCAGUACAGCUGGAGUCACUGCGCCUUCAAUUGCCGCCACCUCCUCCAUCCCUGACUUAGAGACAUAUUUACCUGUGUUAAGAACUCACUGACAUUUUGGAUCAAUUUGGAUUUUGCAGAAUAAUGAUCGAGUCAUUCCAGAGUUGAAACACUUCGGCAGGACUUUGUCCUUGAAAGAAUUCUACUACUAGCUCCUGGGAAUGCCUUUAUCAUCUGGUCCCUUGUGUGAAUUUGAGUAUCCCUCUGGUUCAUUGCUUUAAGUGAUGGCAUAAGGAACUUCUCUCUGUGCUCUCAGGAAAUCAGGGACCUUACAGAGAACUCGUCUAUGCCUUAAGGAGAAAGACAAGGAAGGAUGGCAUCUCUUCCUUCUGCAUCCUUCACUAGGCAGCAAAGUGGAGAGUGCUGGACCUGAAGUCUGGAAGACCUGAUGUUCAAAUGAAGCUAGAGUUCUUUAGUGGUUAACUGUGUGACCUUGGUGUGCCAACCGUUUUUCAAUCUGUAAAAUGGGGACAAUAGCACCUACCUCCCAGGGUG